AUUAUUUUUUAAAAUAUUAAAAUUAAAAAAGGAUAAAUUGUUGGACAUUUGUGUAAUAUUUUCACCCUAUAUAUUUUUAGGGUGUGUUUGGUUUGACGUAAAGUUAUAAAAAAAAGUUUUCGACGGAAAAAAAAUUUUCGGAGGAAAAUAAAUUUUGCGUCAUCUAGUAUUUAGUUUGUAAGAAAAAAAAUAGUUUUUCGUUAUGGUUGUUUGGUUGAAAGGAUUGAAAGAAAAAAAAUUCUAAAUAAAAAAUUAAUAUAUAUUAUUUUAUUUAUAUAUUUUGUGCUAUUAAUAUAUAACUAGUAUUUGAUCCGUGCAAUGCACGGAUAAUAUAAUAAUAUAAAAUAAUAAAAGUUAUUAUGUAAAGAUAAAAAAAUAAUAUUCUAAUUAAUAUUAUAUUUUUUUUAACAAAUAAAGAAAUGUACUAUCAAUCUUAAUUAUAGUAUAUUAACGUACAUCAUAGUGGUACAUAUUAACGUACCAAUUAACAAAUUAUACUAUCAAAUAAUUAUAAUUUGAUAGUACAAAUUAUACCAUUUAACAAAUAAAGAAAUGUACUAUCAAUCUUAAUUAUAGUACAUAUUAACGUACAUUAAAUUAAAUCAAAUUAAAUAACUAUACCAAUUAAAUCAAAUAUUCUAAUUAAUAUGAUAUAAUAGUGUUUCGUAAUAAAAUUCUUGUUAAUUGUAUAUAUAAUUAUAUGUAAUUGGUAUAAUUUGUUAAUUGGUAUAAUAUGAUUUAAUCUGAUUUAAUAGUGUUUCCUAAUAAAAUUGUUAUUCUAUAUUAGAGUAUAAUUAUAAUAAUAAUAGUGUUUAAUAGUGUUUCCUAAUUUAAUUUGAUUUAAUAGUGUUUCCUAAUAAAAUUGUUAUUCCAUAUUUGAGUAUAAUUAUAAUAAUAGUGUUUAUUAGUGUUUCCUAAUCAAAUUCUAAUUAAUUCUUUAAUUGGUAUAAUUUGACGUAAUUUGAAUUAAUUUUAUAAUUAAUUUGAUUUAAUUUGAUUUUUAAUAGUGAUUUUUAAUAGUGACUUAAUUUGAUUUUUAUAUGACUUAAUUUGAUUUUUAAUAGUGAUUUAAUUUGAUUUAAUAGUGUUUCCUAAUCUAUUUACUAAAUCGUUAUUCUAUAUUUGAGUUUGACACGUGGCAAGCAUAUAGAAAGCCACGUAUCAGUUUUUCACAAAGGAUUGAUAAAGGGUUCUACUUUAGUAUGGGUUCUAUUUUAGUAUAUAUUAAAUAUAUUUGAUUUUUAUAUGACUUAAUUUGAUUUUUAAUAGUGAUUUAAUUUGAUUUAAUAGUGUUUCUUAAUCAAUUUACUAAAUCGCUAUUCUAUAUUUGAGCUUGACACGUGACAAGCAUAUAGAAAGUCACGUAUCAGUUUCUCACAAAGGGUUAAUAAAGGGUUCUACUUUAGUAUAUAGUAAAUAGAUUUGACUUUUAUAUGACUUAAUUUGAUUUUUAAUAGUGAUUUAAUUUGAUUUAAUAGUGUUUCCUAAUCUAUUUACUAAAUCGCUAUUCUAUAUUUGAGUUUGACACGUGGCAAGCAUAUAGAAAGCCACGUAUCAGUUUUUCACAAAGGGUUCAGAAAGGGUUCUACUUUAGUAUAUAGUAAAUAGAUUUGAUUUUUAUAUGACUUAAUUUGAUUUCUAAUAGUGAUUUAAUUUGAUUUAAUAGUGUUUUCUAAUCUAUUUACUAAAUCGCUAUUCUAUAUUUGAGUUUGAUACAUGACAAGCAUAUAGAAAGCCACGUGUCAGUUUCUCACAAAGGGUUCAUAAAGGGUUCUAUGUACUUUAGUAUAUAGUAAAUUGAUGAUUUUUAAUAGUGAUUUUUAAUAGUGACUUAAUUUGAUUUUUAUAUGACUUAAUUUGAUUUUUAAUAGUGAUUUAAUUUGAUUUAAUAGUGUUUCCUAAUCUAUUUACUAAAUCGUUAUUCUAUAUUUGAGUUUGACACGUGGCAAGCAUAUAGAAAGCCACGUAUCAGUUUUUCACAAAGGGUUCAGAAAGGGUUCUACUUUAGUAUAUAGUAAAUAGAUUUGAUUUUUAUAUGACUUAAUUUGAUUUCUAAUAGUGAUUUAAUUUGAUUUAAUAGUGUUUUCUAAUCUAUUUACUAAAUCGCUAUUCUAUAUUUGAGUUUGAUACAUGACAAGCAUAUAGAAAGCCACGUGUCAGUUUCUCACAAAGGGUUCAUAAAGGGUUCUAUGUACUUUAGUAUAUAGUAAAUUGAUGAUUUUUAAUAGUGAUUUUUAAUAGUGACUUAAUUUGAUUUUUAUAUGACUUAAUUUGAUUUUUAAUAGUGAUUUAAUUUGAUUUAAUAGUGUUUCCUAAUCUAUUUACUAAUUCUAUAUUUGAGUUUGAUACGUGGCAAGCAUAUAGAAAGCCACAUGUCAGUUUCUCACAGAGGAUUGAUAAAGGGUUUUACUUUAGUAUAUAGUAAAUAGAUUUGAUUUUUAUAUGACUUAAUUUGAUUUUUAAUAGUGAUUUAAUUUGAUUUAAUAGUGUUUCCUAAUCUAUUUACUAAAUCGCUAUUCUAUAUUUGAGUUGACACGUAGCAAGUAUAUAGAAAGCCACAUGUCAGUUUCUCACAAAUGGUUCAUAAAGGAUUCUACUUUAGUAUAUAGUAAAUAGAUAGUAAUUUUUAAUAAUGACUUAAUUUGAUUUUUAAUAGUGAUUUAAUUUGAUUUAAUAGUGUUUCCUAAUCUAUUUACUAAAUCGCUAUUCUAUAUUUGAGUUUGACACGUGGCAAACAUAUAGAAAGCCACGUGUCAGUUUCUCAUAAAAGAUUCAUAAAGAAUUCUACUUUAGUAUAUAGUAAAUAGAUAGAUUAUUAUCAUGUUACAUAUAUUAGUAUGAUGUUUAUAUUUAUAAAUAAAAUAUAUUUAAAAUAUAUUAUGUAAUAAUUAAGUGUUUAAUAUAAUAUAUAAUAGUAUAUAUUUAAUAUUAUAAAAUAAAUUACUAGAUAUUUAUAAAUAAANUGAUUUAAUAGUGUUUCCUAAUAAAAUUGUUAUUCCAUAUUUGAGUAUAAUUAUAAUAAUAGUGUUUAUUAGUGUUUCCUAAUCAAAUUCUAAUUAAUUCUUUAAUUGGUAUAAUUUGACGUAAUUUGAAUUAAUUUUAUAAUUAAUUUGAUUUAAUUUGAUUUUUAAUAGUGAUUUUUAAUAGUGACUUAAUUUGAUUUUUAUAUGACUUAAUUUGAUUUUUAAUUGUGAUUUAAUUUGAAUUAAUAGUGUUUCCUAAUCUAUUUACUAAAUCGCUAUUCUAUAUUUGAGUUUGACACGUGCCAAGUAUAUAGUAAGGCACAUGUCAGUUUCUCACAAAGGGUUCAUAAAAGGUUUUACUUUAGUAUAUAGUAAAUAGAUUUGAUUUUUAAUAGUGAUUUUUAAUAGUGACUUAAUUUGAUUUUUAUAUGACUUAAUUUGAUUUUUCAUAGUGAUUUAAUUUGAUUUAAUAGUGUUUCCUAAUCUAUUUACUAAAUCGUUAUUCUAUAUUUGAGUUUGACACGUGGCAAGCAUAUAGAAAGCCACGUGUCAGUUUCUCACAAAGGAUUGAUAAAGGGUUCUACUUUAGUAUAUAGUAAAUAUAUUUGAUUUUUAUAUGACUUAAUUUGAUUUUUAAUAGUGAUUUAAUUUGAUUUAAUAGUGUUUCCUAAUCAAUUUACUAAAUCGUUAUUCUAUAUUUGAGUUUGACACGUGACAAGCAUAUAGAAAGUCACGUAUCAGUUUCUCACAAAGAGUUCAUAAAGGGUUCUACUUUAGUAUAUAGUAAAUAGAUUUGACUUUUAUAUGACUUAAUUUGAUUUUUAAUAGUGAUUUAAUUUAAUUUAAUAGUGUUUCCUAAUCUAUUUACUAAAUCGUUAUUCUAUAUUUGAGUUUGACACGUGGCAAGCAUAUAGAAAGCUACGUAUCAGUUUCAUACAAAGGAUUCAUAAAGGGUUCUACUUUAAUAUAUAGUAAAUAGAUUUGAUUUUUAUAUGACUUAAUUUAAUUUUUAAUAGUGAUUUAAUUUGAUUUAAUAGUGUUUCUAAUCUAUUUACUAAAUCACUAUUCUAUAUUUGAGUUUGACACGUGGCAAGCAUAUAGAAAGCCACGUAUCAAUUUCUUACAAACGGUUCAUAAAGGGUUCUACUUUACUAUAUAGUAAAUAAAUUUAAUUUUUAUAUGACUUAAUUUGAUUUUUAAUAGUGAUUUAAUUUGAUUUAAUAGUGUUUCCUAAUCUAUUUACUAAAUCGCUAUUCUAUAUUUGAGUUUGACACGUGGCAAGCAUGCACGUGUCAGUUUCCCACAAAGAAUUCAUAAAGAAUUUUACUUUAGUAUAUAGUAAAUAGAUUAUUAUCAUAUUACAUAUAUUAGUAUGAUGUUUAUAUUUAUAAAUAAAAUAUAUUUAAAAUAUAUUAUGUAAUAAUUAAGUGUUUAAUAUAAUAUAUAAUAGUAUAUAUUUAAUAUUAUAAAAUAAAUUACUGGAUAUUUAUAAAUAAAAUAUUAUAUAAUAAAUAUAUUUAAUUUAAUAAAAUAUUUUCUUUAAAAUAUAUAUAAAUAUAUAUAUAUUAUAUAUUAUUAUAUAUAAAAGAAAAGGGAGUGGGGGGAGAG
rnacentral:lncRNA from 1 species